rnacentral:rRNA from 1 species
ACCUCCGGACUGGGGUUCGCAAGCUUCACGGCGAACGUACCUCGGGAAGUUGGUUAAACCUCACUAUUUAGAGGAGGGUGAAGUCGUAACAAGGUCUCCGUAGGUGAACCUGCAGAAGGAUC